UCCAGACUCCUACGGGAGGCAGCAGUGAGGAAUAUUGGUCAAUGGACGCAAGUCUGAACCAGCCAAGUAGCGUGCAGGAUGACGGCCCUCCGGGUUGUAAACUGCUUUUAGUUGGGAAUAAAAGGGGGCUCGAGAGCCCCGUAUUGUAUGUACCAUCAGAAAAAGGACCGGCUAAUUCCGUGCCAGCAGCCGCGGUAAUACGGAGGAUGCGAGCGUUAUCCGGAUUUAUUGGGUUUAAAGGGUGCGUAGGCGGUAUUUUAAGUUAGUGGUAAAACGUCGGGGCUUCACCUUGAUUGGCCAUUAAAACUGGAGUACUAGAGUACAGACGAGGUAGGCGGAAUAAGUUAAGUAGCGGUGAAAUGCUUAGAUAUAACUUAGAACUCCGAUAGCGAAGGCAGCUUACCAGACUGCGACUGACGCUGAAGCACGAGAGCGUGGGUAGCGAACAGGAUUAGAUACCCUAGUA
rnacentral:rRNA from 1 species